GGAGAAACAGAAAGGGUCCCUUUCUCCCUGGCUCCUCCAGCAGCGCAAUGUGAUCCACCGGCAAGGAGGGACGCCAAUAAGGUGUCUGAUAAGAUAAGUCUUAUAAAAUAUAUAGGUUUAUGAUAAUUGAGACUGAGCUAGCAGAUGAGGAAUCCUAGUCAUUGGCCAAGCAGCACUGAACCUAAUACAAGUUUCUGCGUAUUCAUUUGGGCCUAACUCGGGCAGGCGGCUGGCGUGAAGCUCACACGUGGCGAUGUGGAGGAAUAUGCAUAUGAGCGCCGCUGCCCUUGGAGUCCAGAAGACGUGUCAGACGCCCUGGAGCUGGACUUACAGUGAGCCACCUUAUAGGUGUCCUGGGAACCAAAUUCUGGUCCUCUGCAAGAACAGAAUGUACUCUUAACUCCUGAGCCAUCUCUCCAGACCCCUGGAUAAAGUUUUUGAAUGAGAAAAUACUUUGGGACUGGUGUUGAAGCCCAGCUGGUUGAAUGAUUGCCUAGUAUGCACAAGGCCCUAAGUUUAAUCCCCAGCACCACGGCAUGGUAGGGCACACCUGAAAUCUCAGCACUGAGACAUCAAAGCAGAAGGAUCAGAAGCUUAAGGUUAUCAUCUACUACAUAUCGAGUUUGAGGCCAACCUUGACUACAAGAGACCUAUCUCAAAAAACAAACAAACAAACAAAAACAAAAAACACCACCACCACCACCAACAACAACAACCAUCUCUUAAGCCACCCGAGGGGACAGCUUUGGACAAGACUGGGUGUUCAGUUUUGGUCUUGGAUUCUUGAUUUUCAGACCCUGGUUACCCUAAUUUCUGAAUUCUGUUUCCAGGUCUCUAGCUCUAGACAGUCAAUGGCUUUCCCAUGUAUCCGAUGCGGCUUUAGCCAGGCCAGUCUGCCAACGCCCAAGACUAUCAGGGGCAUUCCUGACUCUGUUGGUACUUACUGCCACCUCAUUCCAGCUCUGAGUUUCUUGUUUCUUCCUCCAACCACUCCAUCCCACCUUUCUUCAAAGAUAACUCAGACCCACAUCUGCCUCGUAGAUUUCUUGGCUCUGGGACCCUUCCAGGCUCUGAUCCCCCACAGACCCUUUCUCCAUCUGCAUGGCUUCUCAAGAGUUUUGAGCGGCUCAUGUCCUCAGGUCACAAACCUGAGCUGGUUCUUGUUUUACUCACAAGCUAGCAUACAGCUUGACACAGAAUGUAGAAGGAGGCCCUAGUGGCACCAGCUGUAUUCAGCUUGGCUGUGGGAAACCGGGAAGCAAUAUCUGGAGAGGUAGUAUUGGCUAACCCAGUAGUCACCUUAGUGGCUCUGCAGGUGACAAUCUAAAAAAACAUCUGGCCAGGCAUAUAGAUAGCAUUUAGACAUUGGUAUAUCCAUGUUUUUUUUUCCAUACCUGCUAUGUGUCAUCUAGUUCCUUGCUUGACUUGGAUUGGCCAGAGAUCACACACACACACACACACACACACACACACACACACACACACACAAAGAAUUGAAAUGAGGAGAACUAAUACAUAUUGUUUGGAGACAAAUCCAUAAAACAGCCACAAUGCAGCAGCAAAUCAUCCAAAGAGCCAACAUGCUCCUCAUUUUACACAAUAACUGGAAGCAAGCAAACGGUUAAAAUGUGGGCACUCCUCUUACUUGACACAUAAUAAGUAACGGCAGAAUGGGAAAGAUUGGUGGUGGCAGUGUGCAGUGUGGUGCUAGUGGGACAAACACAAGAUUAUUUUGUCCCCAUGUCCUUUUUUAAUAAUUUAUUUAUUUUUAUUUUGUGUACAUUUGUGUUUUGCCUGCAUGUGUGUCUGUGUGUGGGUGGUGAAUCCUGGAGUCACAGACAGUUGUGAGCUGACAUGUGGGUGCUGGGAAUUGAACCCGGGUCCUUUGGAAGAGCAGCCAGUGCUCUUGACCACUGAGCCAUAUCUCCAGCCCUUUGUCCACAUGUUCUAAGCUCUGCUUACACACUCUGCCUGUUGGGGAAGCUCACUCUCGUGUGAGACAACACCUUCCACUACUUGCUUAUCUAUCCUUUGGAAAGAUGCUCACAAGGAUGAGUUAAGUGCAGCCUCCCUAUCCCCUCUCGGCAGGUCACAGGUCAUGUCUUCAUCUCCAGGGAACACCUAAUGGAGCUGGGACAAGAUUAAAGUGGUAAAUUGGCUAAGACACAAACUUAAAAGUCUACACAGCAUGGAGAUCAAAGGUCUCCGUAAAUUCAAGACCCCUGGUACCUCCUUGUCCUUGGCCUAGCUCAAAGCUAGUCUAAGUUGCUCCCUGUGCCCCUCACCCAGAAGCUCAGGGUGGGUGUCAGAUUCUCAAGGACCUCCAGCCUCCAAAGGAGCUUGCUAGGCAGCCCUUACCAAGGGGUGGGCUGCUACAGUUGUACCACGAAGAUAAGGCUUCGGCACAGAGGAAGACUGAGAAUUGAGUGGGGUGCAGGCCUAAUGGGGGCAUCCCAGGGCUUUUUCAAACUCCUCCUGCUCAAAGUGUCUGGGUGGCCUUGCCCAGCUGUCUCUGGUGCAUUGCCUCAAGAUGCCUAAAGCAGGCCAUAUUUGGACCCUACAAGUGUCCAGCAGUGGGCUCUAGGGGGCAUCAAACAGCGGGCCUGGAUAUGAAAGUCAGCAAUGUUUCUCCUUCCCUUGGGCAUCUC
rnacentral:lncRNA from 1 species